AGAGGGAGCCUGAGAAACGGCUACCANNNNNNNNNNNGGCAGCAGGCGCGCAAAUUACCCAAUCCCAAUACGGGGAGGUAGUGACAAUAAAUAACAAUAUGGGGCUCUUACGGGUCUCGUAAUUGGAAUGAGUACAAUUUAAAUCUCUUAACGAGGAACAAUUGGAGGGCAAGUCUGGUGCCAGCAGCCGCGGUAAUUCCAGCUCCAAUAGCGUAUAUUAAAGUUGUUGCAGUUAAAAAGCUCGUAGUUGAAUUUCGGAGUUUGUCGGUUGGUCGGGCUUCACUGUCCGCACUGGCCUGAUGGAUUCCUACCUUCUGAAUAACCAGCAUGCUAUUAAGUUAGUGCGUUGGGGAAGCAGAGCUAUUACCUUGAAAAAAUUAGAGUGCUUAAAGCAGGCUUUUGCUUGAAUAGAUUAGCAUGGAAUAAUAAAAUAGGACGGCAUGGUUCUAUUUUGUUGGUUUCUAGGAUCACCGUAAUGAUUAAUAGGGAUAGUUGGGGGCAUUAGUAUUCAAUUGUCAGAGGUGAAAUUCUUGGAUUUAUUGAAGACUAACUUCUGCGAAAGCAUUUGCCAAGGAUGUUUUCAUUAAUCAAGAACGAAAGUUAGGGGAUCGAAGACGAUCAGAUACCGUCGUAGUCUUAACCAUAAACUAUGCCGACUAGGGAUCGGACGAUGUUAAUUUUUUAAUGACUCGUUCGGCGCCUUACGGGAAACCAAA
rnacentral:rRNA from 1 species